UGGGCAGGGAGAGGUCAUAGCCGAUUUUUCUCUAAUCCUAAAUACCAAGAGGAUCUGGGCAGUGCUCUUUUGCUCCUUGCACACUGUUUUUCUGGCUUUCAGUGUGUGGAAAAGGCUUGACCUACCCAUGACCACUGUCCACUUAGGAGCAAAAAAGAAAAUGUCAGCAUGGCUGGUCUGCCCUUCCUCAGGACCUGCGGAGGCUCCUGCACUCUAGGGCCAUGUGUGGGCGGGGCUUCUCAGCCCAUAGAGUUUGCCUCUGUCAGCCAGCCACAGGGGCAACAGGGGCGGCUCAGGUCUUGUGACUGCAGGGAUAGAAACAGAGCUUUCCCAGCAUGGUGUGCUUCCCUGACCUGUGGGAAGUGUUCUGGGACUCAGCUCCUAUGAAG
rnacentral:telomerase_RNA from 1 species